rnacentral:SRP_RNA from 1 species
GCUGGGUGUGGUGGUGCAUGCCUGUAAUCCCAGCUACUCGGGAGGCUGAGGCAGGAGAAUUGCUUGAACCUGGGAGGCAGAGGUGCAGUGAGCUGAGAUCAUGCCACUGCACUCCAGCCUGGGUGACAGAGCCAGACUCCGUCUCAA